rnacentral:rRNA from 1 species
CCUACGGGGUGCAGCAGUGGGGAAUAUUGCACAAUGGGCGCAAGCCUGAUGCAGCCAUGCCGCGUGUAUGAAGAAGGCCUUCGGGUUGUAAAGUACUUUCAGCGGGGAGGAAGGGAGUAAAGUUAAUACCUUUGCUCAUUGACGUUACUCGCAGAAGAAGCACCGGCUAACUCCGUGCCAGCAGCCGCGGUAAUACGGAGGGUGCAAGCGUUAAUCGGAAUUACUGGGCGUAAAGCGCACGAAGGCGGUUUGUUAAGUCGGAUGUGAAAUCCCCGGGCUCAACCUGGGAACUGCAUUCGAAACUGGCAAGCUUGAGUCUUGUAGAGGGGGGUAGAAUUCCAGGUGUAGCGGUGAAAUGCGUAGAGAUCUGGAGGAAUACCGGUGGCGAAGGCGGCCCCCUGGACAAGACUGACGCUCAGGUGCGAAAGCGUGGGGAGCAAACAGGAUUAGAUACCCUUGUAGUC